GCGGAGGAAAAGAAAAUAACAAUGAUUUCCCUAGUAACGGCGAGUGAACAGGAAAGAGCUCAAAGUUGGAACCUGUUUGGUUUAGCCAAACCGGAUUGUAAACUGUAGAAGUGUUUUCCUGGCACGCCUGACGAAAAAGUCCAUUGGAACAUGGUGACAUAGAGGGUGAGAGCCCCGUAUUUUGUCAGAGCUGUUGUCUCUUGUGAUACACUUUCAAAGAGUCAGGUUGUUUGGGAAUGCAGCCUAAAUUGGGUGGUAAAUCUCACCUAAAGCUAAAUAUUGGCAAAAGACCGAUAGCGAACAAGUACCGUGAGGGAAAGAUGAAAAGAACUUUGAAAAGAGAGUUAAACAGUAUGUGAAAUUGUUAAAAGGGAACCGUUUGGAGCCAGACUGGCUUGAUUGUAAUCAAUCUAGAUUUCGAUCUGGAUGCACUUGCAGUCUAUGCCUGCCAACGACAAUUCAUUCUGGAGGAAAAAACUAAGUGGAAUGUGGCCCCUCGGGGUGUUAUAGACUCUUAGAAAAUACUCUGGUUUGGAUUGAGGAACGCAGUGAAUGCUAUUUGGCGAAGAUGCUGGGUGCUUUUAUUUUUGUUGUCUAGAAUUUCUGCUUCGGGUGGUGCUAGAUACCACGAGUAAAACUCGCCUAGUAUACUUUUUAUUCACUUAGGUUGUUGGCUUAAUGACUCUAAAUGAC
rnacentral:rRNA from 2 species